rnacentral:rRNA from 1 species
ACGCUGGCGGCGUGCUUAACACAUGCAAGUCGAGCGGUAAGGCCCUUUCGGGGGUACACGAGCGGCGAACGGGUGAGUAACACGUGGGUGACCUGCCCUCAGCUCUGGGAUAAGCCUGGGAAACCGGGUCUAAUACCGGAUAUGACUCCAUGACGCAUGUUGUGGGGUGGAAAGCCUUGUGCGGCUGAGGAUGGGCCCGCGGCCUAUCAGCUUGUUGGUGGGGUGAUGGCCACCAAGGCGACGACGGGUAGCCGGCCUGAGAGGGCGACCGGCCACACUGGGACUGAGACACGGCCCAGACUCCUACGGGAGGCAGCAGGUGGGGAAUCUUGCGCAAUGGGCGAAAGCCUGACGCAGCGACGCCGCGUGAGGGAUGACGGCC